GGCAUGCCUUACACAUGCAAGUCGAACGGUAGAAGGGGCAACCCUUCGAGAGUGGCGAACGGGUGAGUAAUGCAUCGGAACGUGCCCAGUCGUGGGGGAUAGCCCGGGGAAACCCGGAUUAAUACCGCAUACGACCUGAGGGUGAAAGCGGGGGACCAGCAAUGGCCUCGCGCGAUUGGAGCGGCCGAUGUCGGAUUAGGUAGUUGGUGGGGUAAAGGCCUACCAAGCCUGCGAUCCGUAGCUGGUCUGAGAGGACGACCAGCCACACUGGGACUGAGACACGGCCCAGACUCCUACGGGAGGCAGCAGUGGGGAAUUUUGGACAAUGGGGGCAACCCUGAUCCAGCCAUGCCGCGUGCGGGAAGAAGGCCUUCGGGUUGUAAACCGCUUUUGUCAGGGAAGAAAUGUCCUGGGUUAAUACCCUGGGGGGAUGACGGUACCUGAAGAAUAAGCACCGGCUAACUACGUGCCAGCAGCCCGCGGUAAUACGUAGGGUGCGAGCGUUAAUCGGAAUUACUGGGCGUAAAGCGUGCGCAGGCGGUUAUACAAGACAGAUGUGAAAUCCCCGGGCUCAACCUGGGAACUGCAUUUGUGACUGUAUAGCUGGAGUA
rnacentral:rRNA from 1 species